rnacentral:rRNA from 1 species
UUCCCCUCCGGAGGCAGCAGUGGGGAAUAUUAGACAAUGGGCGCAAGCCUGAUCUACCCAUGCCGCGUGGGUGAUGAAGCCCUUAGGGUGGUAAAGCCCUUUCGCCGGGGAAGAUAAUGACGGUACCCGGUAAAGAAACCCCGGCUAACUCUGUGCCCGCACCCGCGGUAAUACGGAGGGGGUUAGCGUUUUUCGGAAUUUCUGGGCGUAAAGCGCGCGUAGGCGGAUCUUCAAGUCGGGGGUGAAAUCCCGGGGCUCACCCCCGGAAUGGCCUUCGAGACUGUGGCUCUUGAGUUCGAGAGAGGUGAGUGGAAUUCCGAGUGUAGAGGUGAAAUUUGUAGAUAUUCGGAGGAACACCAGUGGCGAAGGCGCCUCCCUGUCUCGACCCUGACGCUGAGGCGCGAAAGCGUGGGGAGCACACAGGAUUAUAUACCCUGGUAGUCCCCGCCGUAAACGAUGUACACCAUGGGUCGGGGGGCUUGCCCUUCGGUGUCGCACCUAACGCUUAAGCUUCCGCU